CAACCCCUCAAGCUUCGGCUUGGUCUUGGAGCCUGCGGUCUCGCAGCCCCUAAACUCAGUGGCGGUGCUAUUGAGCUCUGAGCGUAGUAAAUCUCCUCGCUAUAGAGCCUCGGUAGUUGCUUGCCAACAACCCCCAAUUUUUAUCA
rnacentral:misc_RNA from 3 species